rnacentral:rRNA from 1 species
UUUUGCCUACGGGGGGCAGCAGUGGGGGAUAUUGCACAAUGGGGGAAACCCUGAUGCAGUGACGCCGCUUGAGUGAAGAAGUAUUUCGGUAUGUAAAUCUCUAUCGGCAGGGAAGAAAAAGCGCGCGAGCGCCCUUGACAGUACCUGACUAAGAAGCCCCGGCUAACUACGUGCCAGCAGCCGCGGUAAUACGUAGGGGGCAAGCGUUAUCCGGAUUUACUGGGUGUAAAGGGAGCGUAGGCGGCCAUGCAAGUCAGAAGUGAAAACCCGGGGCUCAACCCUGGGAG